UACACACCAGGGCUGCCAAAACGAAUCCCUAGUACAUGCAGUCGUUCCUGCCCUGUGUGUAGCUGUGAGACUGACUGACCGUCUGUGUGUGUUUCUGCUCGUGUCUCCAGGUCACGGCCCCGUGGUCCAGGAUGCUCUCGGUAAGAUCCAGCAGUACAUCGCGCACAGGCAGCUCCGUGAGCAGCAGAUCCUGGCUGCCCUGCAGGCGGGAGCCGGCAAAUCUUUUACCGCCGCUGAGCUUGUCAAGCUGAUCUAUAAGGAGACACCUCCACAUCUACACGGGGCGGCCGAGGUGAACCUCCUGCAUCACCUAAAUAAGUUGGAGAAGGAGGGCAAGAUUGGCCGUGCGAGCGGCGCGUCCGAAAGCUGCAGGUGGAGGAGCAGUUUGUGAGCACUUCAGCAGCGUCUGCAGCAGUCUACGUCAGUUCCAGGGAGCGUCCAUCUUCAGGCCUGUCACCCUCUGCUAAAGCACAUCACCUACUGGGCAUCUUUCCAUUCGGGUUCAGGCAGAUGUUUGCCGUUUAGCCUGGAUGGUUGAUGACUUUACUCCACUGUGGUCUGAUGUUCGCUUUGCUCCUGCGAGUGUUUGUCAGAAGGUCUGAUGCCACAGGAUAAUUUUUAAACACAAAGUAUGACCUUUAUAAUAUUAACCCGGUAUUUUCAUAGGUCAGGUUCACUUGGCUCACAUGACAUGAAAAGAUGCAUCUCUUUAUGGAUUUCAGCCCUUUUUUUAGACAGGAUGGGAUCAGAUUGUUUAAUAAACAUGGUAAUUGGUAAAUAAUCCUCAGAGCUGUAAAUCCACUAAUAAUUUUUUGAAGGUAAAGGAAGUUCAACAGUCAAAAACACUUGUAAAUCCUAAAAUGACGGACUUGUUCCGGUUUGUUCUGAGCAUGUCUGCACCAGUCUGUCUGGCGCACCGUUGCCUGGCUACAUUUAAACACGAGACGUGAUUGCUCGAUAAUGGUAGUCUGGGCUGAAUGUAAGUGAAUGGAGAAAGUACAUUUAAACCGGGGCACCCUGAACUAAGCACAGAACUUGGGCCUGUAUGGAUUUCAUGCUUAGUCGCUUAACCUUUUGUAUUUCAGGUUCCCCAGUUUAAAUGGACUUUUUCUUCGUUCACUUACAUUUAGCCCAGACUGCCUUAAUUAUCCAUCUUAGGUUAAUUCUAGGUUAUUUUCCAGGCUCUGACUGACAGCUAUAGGCUAGUAAAUAGCUGAGACCCUCCUUCCUAGUUCCGGGAAAAUGGCGGCAUGUUUAUAAUCCCCAAGCGGCGUCUCUGAGGGCGUCAGUCCGAGCCAGCCACAGGAUAGGAGGACUCAGACAAAUGGAAUAUCAUUGAAAGAAAACAAAUUCCAGAGACUACAGAAUAUAGAUAUGUUUUUAGGAUUUCAGAGCCCAAAACCAAACCGAAGCUAAAUUCAUAUAAUAAACGUUAGCGGUUAUCAUUAGCUUCCGCUAAAUAAUUUUUAGUGGUUUACCAGUUUAUCGAAUUAAACUUUGGAGAUAGCGGUUAUCAAAACUGUGCCCACCACUGAUAUUCUGUACACCCACAGUAAAUACAUCUUAUUGGGGUACAGUGCACUAAUGCACUGCAGAUAGCCUGGGCCAUAGGCCAGCCAGGGACCCCCGACAACUUUUCAGUGCUCAGACCUUUUAUUGUUCCUGCACUGGAGCUUGAAUUAAUGGAGGCAGAAAAAUCAUAUGUUUGCAUAGAUAUGGAAAUCACUGCAUCGGUGCAUUAGUAAUGACCAUUUAAACAUGUAUAUUUUUGUAAAUUGAGUCUGUUUAUGUGAUAUGACAAAUAUAAUGUAUGAUAUUAAAGAUAUCAAAAUGUGUGUUUUUCAUGAAAAACACUGGAGUGGAGAAACAACAAAAAAUCGUUUCCUUUUUUUUUCUUUUAUUGCAGUAAAUAAAACCAUGCUUUGUCCCCUGA